rnacentral:rRNA from 1 species
UUGCUCUGUGGGAUCAGUGGCGAACGGGUGAUUAACACGUGAGCAACCUGCCCCUGACUCUGGCAUAAGCGAUGGAAACGGCGUUUAAUACU